rnacentral:rRNA from 1 species
AUUGAACGCUGGCGGCAUGCCUUACACAUGCAAGUCGAACGGUAACGCGGGGCAACCUGGCGACGAGUGGCGAACGGGUGAGUAAUGCAUCGGAACGUGCCCAGAAGUGGGGGGAUAGCCCGGCGAAAGCCGGAUUAAUACCGCAUGAGACCUGAGGGUGAAAGCGGGGGAUCGCAAGACCUCGCGCUUUUGGAGCGGCCGAUGUCAGAUUAGCUAGUUGGUGGGGUAAAGGCCUACCAAGGCGACGAUCUGUAGCUGGUCUGAGAGGACGACCAGCCACACUGGGACUGAGACACGGCCCAGACUCCUACGGGAGGCAGCAGUGGGGAAUUUUGGACAAUGGGCGCAAGCCUGAUCCAGCCAUGCCGCGUGCGGGAAGAAGGCCUGGUGUAACGCUUUGUCAGGAAGAACGACUCUGGGCGUAAUACCCUCGGGGUAAGUGACGGUACCUGAAGAAUAAGACACCGGCUAACUACGUGCCAGCAGCCGCGGUAA